rnacentral:tRNA from 1 species
AGAAGCUUAGGAUACUUCCAGUCCGAAGGCCUUCAAAGCCUUAAGAAAACACAACGUUUAGCUUCUG